rnacentral:rRNA from 1 species
GACGAACCGAGCGAACGUUGUUCGGAAUCACUGGGCUUAAAGGGCGCGUAGGCGGGUGCUCAAGUCCGUGGUGAAAUCCUCCGGCUCAACCGGAGAACUGCCUCGGAUACUGGGUGCCUCGAGGGUGGUAGGGGUAUGCGGAACUAUCGGUGGAGCGGUGAAAUGCGUUGAUAUCGAUAGGAACUCCGGUGGCGAAGGCGGCGAUCUGGGUCGAUACUGACGCUGAGGUGCGAAAGCGUGGGGAGCAAACAGG